rnacentral:rRNA from 1 species
GUCUACAGCCAUGCUACCCUGAACAACUCCAAUGUCUGAUCUCGGAAACUAAGCAGGGUCAGGCCUGGUUAGUACUUGGAUGGGAGACCAUCUAGGAAGACCAGGUACUGUAGGCA